rnacentral:rRNA from 1 species
GACGAACGCUGGCGGCGUGCCUAAUACAUGCAAGUUGAGCGCUGAAGGUUGGUACUUGUACCAACUGGAUGAGCAGCGAACGGGCGAGUAACGCGUGGGGAAUCUGCCUUUGAGCGGGGGACAACAUUUGGAAACGAAUGCUAAUACCGCAUAAAAACUUUAAACACAAGUUUUAAGUUUGAAAGAUGCAAUUGCAUCACUCAAAGAUGAUCCCGCGUUGUAUUAGCUAGUUGGUGAGGUAAAGGCUCACCAAGGCGAUGAUACAUAGCCGACCUGAGAGGGUGAUCGGACACAUUGGGACUGAGACACGGCCCAAACUCCUACGGGAGGCAGCAGUAGGGAAUCUUCGGCAAUGGACGAAAGUCUGACCGAGCAACGCCGCGUGAGUGAAGAAGGUUUUCGGAUCGUAAAACUCUGUUGGUAGAGAAGAACGUUGGUGAGAGUGGAAAGCUCAUCAAGUGACGGUAACUACCCAGAAAGGGACGGCUAACUACGUG